UACGAAGGGGGCUAGCGUUGUUCGGAAUUACUGGGCGUAAAGCGCACGUAGGCGGAUUGACAAGUCAGGGGUGAAAUCCCGGGGCUCAACCUCGGAACUGCCUUUGAUACUGUUAGUCUAGAGUCCGGAAGAGGUGGGUGGAAUUCCUAGUGUAGAGGUGAAAUUCGCAGAUAUUAGGAAGAACACCGGUGGCGAAGGCGGCCCACUGGUCCGGUACUGACGCUGAGGUGCGAAAGCGUGGGGAGCAAACAGG
rnacentral:rRNA from 1 species